rnacentral:misc_RNA from 1 species
UUUCGACAUGAGUUUCUCUACAUGAGUUAUUAAUUUCAAGAGUUUGUUUUCAAGUGAUUUCAAGGCAAAAGGAAAGACCUGCAAUUGUAAUGACAGGCAAAUUCUUCAUUACGAUGAAUUCUCUCAAGCAUUUAUAAAGAGCACCAACGGUGAGUUAAUUCUCAUAAUUAUCUUGAGAUUUGGAAGUAAUUAAAUAAAUGUGUAUGUUUCUAAGUGUGACAAUAAAACAGGUCACGAUAAAGCUUUAAUUGAAAUGUAUUAAUUAAGUAAUUAUAUUGAGUAAAGUCUUAUCUUUGAACUUUGAACAAUGUGUCACUUUAAGUCAGAAUCUUGGAAGUCUUAAAAUAGAAGAACUUUGUAAGAAUGGAUACAAAUAUGAGAGUAUUAAAGAUGAACUGCAUUAUUUGUGUGAACCAUUUUAGAUAGAUUAUUAGUUAAUCAAGAACCGCAUAGUAGAAAUUGUUUAUGAAAUCUAUUUUUAGAUGGCACGUAGUCUGGGGCAGGAGACACACCCCAUCCAACUCUGAUCCAACUACCAGUAAACUCAGCACUCAGGAGUCAUGUACGAUCAUCACGACACAGCUUCGUCUUAACUACAUAAAGGAUUCUCAACGUCAAAUCUUCAAGCGGUGACGUAUGACAUUUGAUCAAUUGAGAGAGUGACACAACUAUGAAACAUUUGGAACGAUUUUGAGCGGUGUCAUUUUGAGAGACUAUAAAUCCAUCUUAGUUUGUGAGAGUUAUAAUGCGGUUCGUUUUUCAAGUUUAAAAAGGUUCAUUUCGUAAAUCAGUUUAUUGUUAUAUAUUUUUUUUUAGGUUUGUACUCUGGUAUAUUAUAAAGUCAUAGAAGAAUAGUAAAACAAACUUUGGAUUGAUGUUUGUUUGUAAUCUGGUGUAUUGAGAAGAAAAGGGUAGCAAGACAAGACUUAUGAAUAAUUAAAUACAUCAGUAUUGGUGAUAGAACAUAGAUCUUUUGAGUCUGUUAGUUUUUUUUUGUUUAUCUUUGAUGAGUGAAUUUGCAAAGUAUAGUUAUUUUCAUGUGACAAUUUUUGGGGGCAUGUCCGGGAGCUAAGAUUCACUCAUCAGUCACAUGAAAAUGUUUUUCAUUAAUCUUGAGGCAAAUUUAUAGUUAUAGGGAUUAGUCAUAGGAAUUAGGUAGUAAACAUUACAGAUUAAGGAAGUGAUAGAAUUUGAAUUGUUUUGUAAAGGUUGGUGUGUCUGAACCAAAGUCCUUGUUAGAUUUUUGUUUGUAUGGAAGUUUGAAAUGGAUCCAGAAAAAUAUUUGAGGGUUGGUCAAGCUCUUGGGUUUAGUGGAAAAGAACUCCAAGAUUAUGUAGAAAAAGAACAGAAAGAUGCUCAGAGAGACGCGAGAGGUGAGAGAGCGGAAUUGUUAGAAUUGAAGAGACAGGAGAAAGAGAUAUUAGAACUACAAUUGGAAUUAGCAAAGGCUAAGCAGGAUGGUACUUCAGACCCAGGAGGUCAGUCUAGUAGUAAUCGAAGUUCGGCUAGGACCCCUAAACUCCCAGCAUUUAAUGAUGGAAAAGAUGAUAUUGAUGCGUAUUUGCAUCGUUUUGAGAGAUAUGCGAUAGGGCAAGGUUGGAAGAAAGAAGAUUGGGCAAUGAAUUUAAGCGCCCUUUUGAGUGGAAAGGCUCUAGAUGUUUAUUCUCGUUUACCAGAUAGGGAUGCUAGUGACUUUGAUGAACUUAAGGCAGCCUUACUGCAGAGAUAUGAUUAUACAGCAGAGGGAUUUCGGAAUAAGUUAUUCACUAGUAAACCAGAAGCGGGUGAGACUGGUCACCAAUAUGCAGCCAGAAUUGGGAAGUAUUUUGAUAGGUGGAUAAAGUUAGCUGGAAUAAAGGAGAAUUUCGUAGAGUUGAGAGAUCUCAUAAUAAAGGGACAAUUUGUAGAUGGUUGUAGUAAAGAACUGUCACUCUUCCUUAGGGAAAGACAACCUUCUGAUUUAGAGACUACCGCUGAACUAACAGAACAAUACUUAACAGCCCGUGGGGGUAUGUUCACUCAGUCAGGUUCUAGACAAAUCAGAAACCAGGAUAGAUUUGUAAAGAAACCCGAAGGUAAGAUUUAUAACUCAGAACCCAAAGGUGCUUUCGCAAAUCAACCAAUUGAAUGUUACAAUUGCCACAGAAAUGGACACUUAGCCAGAAAUUGUACAGUAAAACCUAUGACCUACACUCAAACCAGUCCUAACAUGCCAAAGACAUGUUAUUUGUGUCACAAACCGGGACACUUCGCAAGGAAUUGUAAUUACAAUCGACCUAGACUAGGUGCUGCUUUUUCUAAUAUGAACCAAACUAUUGAUAGCAAUGCAAGUCCACAUAUGCAGCAGUUUAGGACAUACCCAGAGCAAUCUAGGUCACUGUCUGCAGAAGCCCCACCAUUUAGGACAGAUCAAGGUCAUGCUAUGUCUUAUGUGCCCAACGAGCUUAGGACAAAUAAUUAUGAAUACUUACCAGGCCAACCAAGUUUAAAUGACCAAUCAUCCCACACAGAUGUUAGAUUCGACCCAGUAGCAUCAUGUAUGGAGAUAAAUGAUUCACCGCAAUCACUCCAUUCUUGUUGUUUGCCAGAUAACCAAGAUCACAUCACCCUUCAAUGUGGUCAUUCACUUCCAAUUGUAAGUGCCGCAUGUAAUAGCAAAGUAAAUAUAGAUAAACGAAUGCCAGUAACAAAAGGUAUUGUUGGAAAUAAACAGGUCUCAGUACUUCGGGACAGCGGCUGCAGCAGUGCUGUGAUCCGUCAAAGUUUGGUACUUCCAGAACAAAUGACAGGUAAGGAAACCACAUGUAUUUUAAUAGAUGGGACUGUAAGGAAAGUUCCAGUUGCAAGAAUCCAUGUUGAUACACCCUACUUAGUCAAAACAAUUGAUGUACUUUGCAUGAAGAACCCCUUGUACGAUCUUAUUCUAGGUAACGUGCAAGACAUCCUCCCUCCAGAUCACCCAGACCUCAAUUGGACUCCAACGACACAGGCAAAUGCUGUUCAAACUAGGAAUCAAGUCAAGAAUGAAGGUAAACCACUUCGACCACUUAAAGUUCCUAAACCCUUACAGGAUGUUGUCACUCCAGAGAAACUUAAGGACGCUCAGCAGACUGACGAAUCACUUCGUCGUGCUAGAGAACUAGCAGAUUCCCAACAAGAGAAAACUAAUAAUCGAAAUGCAACUUCUUCCUAUUAUUACAGAGAUGGUAUAUUAUUUCGCAAGUUUCAUUCCCCUAAUGUUGAACAUGACAGUGUCUUCCACCAGGUAGUUGUGCCCAAGUCACUUCGAACUCGAGUGAUGCGCCUAGCUCAUGAAACCUUAUUUGGAGGCCACCAAGGUGCCAAGAAGACUACUGACAAAAUAUUAACCAAUUUCUUUUGGCCAGGAAUCACCUCUGAUGUCACCAGGUAUUGUCAAUCAUGUGACGUAUGCCAACGCACCCUACCGAAAGGUAAAGUAACCAGGGUUCCUCUCGGUACCAUGCCACUAAUAGAAAUUCCAUUUCAACGUAUUGCAGUUGAUAUUGUAGGUCCAAUACAGCCCAUGACAGAACGCCGGAACAGAUACAUCCUCACCAUCGUAGACUACGCAACUCGGUAUCCAGAGGCCAUACCACUACCAAGUAUCGAAGCUGAACGGGUAGCUGAAGCCUUAGUAAGUGUAUUCACAAGAGUAGGUAUUCCUAGUGAAAUGCUAACUGAUCAAGGCUCUCAGUUUACGUCUGAAGUAAUGAACCAUAUCAGUAGACUUCUCUCUAUCAAACAGAUAACCACUUCACCAUAUCAUCCCAUUGCCAAUGGAUUAGUGGAACGUUUCAACGGCACACUGAAACAGAUGCUGAAACGCAUGUGCGCUGAACGUCCAUCAGAUUGGGACAGGUACGUUGAACCUUUGCUUUUUGCCAUUAGAGAAUCUCCACAGGAAAGCUUGGGCUUUUCUCCUUUCGAACUUCUUUACGGCAGGAAGGUUCGUGGACCAAUGGCGAUCUUGAAAGAACUAUGGACAGGUAAUGUGGACGUAGCCGAAACCAAGACAACAUAUGAGUAUGUAUUAGAAUUAAGAAACAGGUUAGAAGAGACAUGCCAGGAAGCUCAUCGAUCACUCCAGAAGUCAGCUACUCGCUACAAGAAACAGUACGACAAGAAGAGUAAGGUACGUUCCUUUGUACCAGGUGACAAAGUCCUUCUCUUACUCCCCACAGAUCGAAGCAAACUACUCCUUCAGUGGAAAGGACCUUUCAACGUGAUUGCCAAAAUCGGUGCAUCUGACUACCGGAUAGAUCUGAAUGGCAAGACGAAGGUCUUUCAUAUCAACCUUCUGAAGAAGUAUAACGUACGACAAGACGAGGUAAGUUCUCUUUCUCACCCACUAAUGACCCUCACAGAACCAGAGAUAGUUGCUACCGCCGUCAUAGAAUGCGAAGAGGAUACAACAGAGACAUCUCUUUCUAACAAAGCUUUACUCCAACCAUUUCCUCUUGAUUCACAGGAAACCGUAGCCGAUGUGACGAUCAACCAAGAUCUAACCUCUACCCAAAGGAAAGAAAUUAAUCAAAUACUAACUGAAUUUCAAGAUACCCUUACAGAUCUUCCAGGCCGGACUACACUAGGUCACCAUGACAUCAAACUGACAGAGGAUGAACCACGCAGGAGCAAACCAUACCCCAUUCCUCACGCUCUCCGACAGACAGUCAAAGAUGAAGUACAGAAAAUGCUUGCACUUGGAGUAAUUGAACCCUCUAACAGUCCAUUUGCUUCUCCCAUAGUGUUAGUUAAGAAACCGGAUGGCAGUAACAGAUUCUGCGUUGAUUACCGCAGGCUCAAUCAAAUCACAGUCUUUGACGCCGAACCAAUCCCUGACCAAGAAGAACUCUUCACCAAGUUAUCACAUGCCAGGUAUUUCACCAAAUUAGACCUCAGUAAGGGCUACUGGCAGGUCCCCAUGUCAGAGUCAGCCAAGCACCUUACUGCGUUCCUAACACCCGAUGGUUUAUUUCAGUUCACCAUGAUGCCGUUUGGCUUAGUCAAUGCCCCGGCGACUUUCAGUAGACUUAUGAGGAAAGCCCUCGAGGGUCUCCAUGGAACACUCAAUUACAUAGAUGAUAUACUAAUCUAUUCCUCCACUUGGUCAGAACAUGUACAGGCACUGAAAGAGCUUUUCCAGCGACUCCGUGCUGCUAACCUCACUGCCAAACCAAGUAAGUGUCAUGUAGCUCAAGAACAGGUAGAAUUCCUAGGACAUGUCAUAGGUAAAGGUGAACUAGCACCAAGACCGCAGAAGGUAACUGCAAUCAACGAAAUCAGUAAGCCUCAAACUAAGAAACAGUUGAGAUCAUUCCUAGGUACUACAAAUUACUAUCGUAAGUUCAUUCCGAACUACUCGGCAAUCGCCGCCCCCUUGACUGACAAGUUGAAAAACAGUGAACGAAAUCAGGUAAUAUGGGGAGAGAAUGAAGAGCAAGCUUUCCAUACUCUCAAGUCCAAAUUGAGUAAUUUUCCCAUAUUACGACUUCCCGACCUCACAAAGAAAUUUGUGUUGAGAACAGAUGCAUCCGACAACGGCAUAGGCGCCGUUUUGUUACAAAAGCAUGCUAACGAGAAAUUCCCAGUCGCAUAUGCUAGUAGAAAGUUGAAGGAUAGUGAAAAGGAUUACGCCGUGAUCGAAAAAGAAUGUUUGGCGAUCAUUUGGGCCGUCAAGAAGUUUGAGACAUAUCUCUAUGGAAACCAGUUCGAUCUCGAAACCGAUCACCAGUCCUUAACGUACAUUCAUCGUACUAAAGUAGCCAACCCAAUGGUCAUGCGAUGGGCACUAGCUUUGCAGCCCUAUCGAUUUCGACUAGUGUCAAUAAAAGGUAGUGAUAACGUAGGGGCAGAUCUCCUCAGCCGCUUGUAAAUAAAUUAAGGAACGUCGGGAAAUGACACAAGUUUAAAAAAAAGUGUCUUCUUAACGUUAAUUGAAAAUAGGUUGAGAAACAAAUGUGAAAAAUAAAAUUCCCAGAAUAAAGCUCAUUUGGGAUUUAUUUUCAGAAUUAAUGAAGAAAAUGACAAAUUAAAGCAGUGUCAUGAAAAAGAUAAAGUAGAUUUUGUUAUUUGGUACAUUUGAUACAUAUGUGUUUUUAUUUUUCUUUUGAGACCUAAAUGAUAAUUUUAUUGUAAAAUAAGCAUAUGAUGCAAAAAGGACGAAUUAAUGCUUAUCUUUCUAAAUUAGUGAAUACAAUUUUAGAUUGGGGGGUAAAAUGUCACAGUGGAAGUGAGAUUGUAUUCACUUAUUUUGUUUCUAUGGAUACAGGAGGAAAGUAGAAGUGCCAUCGUGUGGUGUUGUAUAGGGGUGUAUGUGAAGAUUAGUAAUAGGAGAUAAAGAAGAGAUUAAAUUUCGAGUGUGAAAGGGUCUUCACAUUAUGACAUGUGUGCACUAGGUGUGACCAAGGUUAAUCUUUAUAGUGUGAAAGUGGUUUGUCUACAAUAUUGGAGCUAGUUUGAAUACAUACCUCAUUUCUUUCAGCCGAGGAAAGGCUUUUCAAAGUAAAUUCUUAGUUUUAUUCAGCCCAGGAUGGGCAUUGUUUGAAGGAAAUAUCCAGGUGGUUAAAUACAAAUUAGAUUUAAUCAUGCUCCUUGCACUGGGCAAGUAGUAAGGAUUUUUGAGACAGACACACCUAGCCUAUAGAGGAGACAGGUACCUUUUCCAAGGGCCUCUUUGACUUUUUUUCGACAUGAGUUUCUCUACAUGAGUUAUUAAUUUCAAGAGUUUGUUUUCAAGUGAUUUCAAGGCAAAAGGAAAGACCUGCAAUUGUAAUGACAGGCAAAUUCUUCAUUACGAUGAAUUCUCUCAAGCAUUUAUAAAGAGCACCAACGAUGGCACGUAGUCUGGGGCAGGAGACACACCCCAUCCAACUCUGAUCCAACUACCAGUAAACUCAGCACUCAGGAGUCAUGUACGAUCAUCACGACACAGCUUCGUCUUAACUACAUAAAGGAUUCUCAACGUCAAAUCUUCAAGCGGUGACGUAUGACAUUUGAUCAAUUGAGAGAGUGACACAACUAUGAAACAUUUGGAACGAUUUUGAGCGGUGUCAUUUUGAGAGACUAUAAAUCCAUCUUAGUUUGUGAGAGUUAUAAUGCGGUUCGUUUUUCAAGUUUAAAAAGGUUCAUUUCGUAAAUCAGUUUAUUGUUAUAUAUUUUUUUUUAGGUUUGUACUCUGGUAUAUUAUAAAGUCAUAGAAGAAUAGUAAAACAAACUUUGGAUUGAUGUUUGUUUGUAAUCUGGUGUAUUGAGAAGAAAAGGGUAGCAAGACAAGACUUAUGAAUAAUUAAAUACAUCAGUAUUGGUGAUAGAACAUAGAUCUUUUGAGUCUGUUAGUUUUUUUUUGUUUAUCUUUGAUGAGUGAAUUUGCAAAGUAUAGUUAUUUUCAU